UCCAAAUAUAUAAACACAAACUAGUCAAAUUAAUAAUGUAUCUCUAUGUAUUUUAAUUUCCCAAAGAAAAUGAGGGCUCAUUAUGACACAUACCUGCCAACACCUCUGUCCUCUGGAAGAGGUUUUCAGUGCGGACCUCAACGGCCUCCUGGGGUGAGCCGGGAGCACUAGUCGUACUAGUCAUCUGGUUCCUCUGCAGGUCCUCUGUAACUGGCACUGGUGCCUGCAUGAGGGGAAGGUGGGAGUGGGAAGAGGCAUGAGGGGGAGAAGGAAAAAGGAAGAAAUACAUUUAAGGGGAUCAAGGAUCAAGGUCAAGGAAAUCAAGUUAGUCUACUUCCAUAUUUCCCAUGUCAAACUAUCUUAUCUAUAUCACAGCUUUUUAUUAGUACUUCUUACUAAAGCCUGACCAAUAAAUCCUUCUUACCUCUGUUCUGAGUGGUUUCCUGGGUGUGCUGUCCCGGGCCCUUUCUCUGAUCGUGGCUGUUUCCACUCUGGGGGUGAAAUCUUUGGUGGAGUCCUGGGUGGGUUCUGCUGCAUUGGGCUUGAUAUAAACCAUACUGACAGUCACCGUUUCCUCCAUUGUGUCUUCACCUCCACCUGGGAGUAAGAGAGCAACAGGUUAAUAAUGUCUCUCCAAUAAAAGGACCGCAUGCAAAAUGUUUGCUCAAUAAAUCUUAUAUUACAGUAAUUAUGGUACAAUCCAUCACCGAAUGUGAACAUGCAGUCAAAAAAAAAUGUGAAAAUGAUAUUAGUAUGUGCAUGUACGUGCUGUAUGGACAUGCAUGUUAUGAAUAUUUUAUGUCCACAGUCAUACAGUUUGACUUACUUUCCACUCUGUGGCCUUAAUUGUAAUGUAUUAUUUACAGUUUGAAUCUCCGAUUGAAUACAGACUGGCAGAGCAGAGUAAUAGGGUGUGUAUACGAUAUUGGAAGGACUAUUGAUCACACUCGUUUCCUUUCACCUAGCAUGACCUUCUCUUACUGCAGUUACACAACUCUCUCAAAGAGAAGAGUUUCUUUUUGACAAAGGAAUGAGUGUUGUAAAGAGUGCUUAAAGCAAGUAGACUUGAAGAGCUAAUAAAAAAAAAAAGACAUGUAAAAUUUGCACACUUGCCCGCAGCGGUCUGGGU